UGAAUUAAAUCAAUUUUAGAUCCAUUAUUAUUUUCUAAUUUGUGUUUUAGUGACAUUAGAAUACUCAGUGUACCCAUUGGUUCAUAAUUAUUGGUUAUCUGUGCUCGAACAGUUUGAUUUUGAUUGAUUUGUGAAUAAGCAAGUAAACACUGUAUCACAGUGGAGUAAAAAAAUUCACUCCAGACACGUUUUUUGGAACACUAUUAAAACUUAAAUCAAAUGGAUUUCAUUUUCUUUAUCAUCUAAACAACAUGGACUUUGAAUAUUUUCAUGUCACCUGAAAGAAAAGUAGGACAUUUAUUCGAAUAUUAUCAUUAUUACUUAAUGUUGGAGUUUCACAUUUCAUCUCGCACACCAUUUUCGUGUUAAUUAACCCGUGCCUAUCUGUUUGGCGUCGAUCUCUACCUUGAUUGCUGAGUUGUCAACAUGAAUUUCACAUUCCUAUAACGCUGUGAAAGAUAAAUGAAUGGAUCAAAGUGGUAAAAUCAUUUUAUCUGAUGCUGAUCAAAAUAAUUUCAUUGGAAUUCAAUUUUUAUUUACUUAAAUGUACAUGUUUUAUUGGAAUAGCUAACACAUUUAAUCACAUGUGAGAUAAAAAUCGGUAUUUAUGUCAGCUUUUUUGAGUGCAUCAGUACGAUCCCUUUGCAAAGUUAGUAAAAAAUUGUAAAAACAAAUACAAUGAAGGAUGAUUUCCAUUUAAUUUCAACAAAGCACAAUGGAUUAGUGAAAACAAUGAUAUGGUUAUUGUGUAAAUCAUCAAUACAAUUUGGAGUUCAUUUUCACGUCUAACAAGGCUACAGAGGAAACCAACGAGAGAGGUGAACGAGAAAAACAAUGAAAUGUAAUAAUCUUCCGAUAUCAAAGCGAUAAAGCCAACAGCAAAAUAGACCAAACCGAGAGCAGAUUUAACAAGAAACAUAUCAAUCUCUUGGGUUAUCAAUUUGUUUAAAUAGUUGGAUGGAAUCCUUGGUUCAGGUUCGGGUGUUUCAGUUGUUAAAGGCUUACUUGU